rnacentral:misc_RNA from 1 species
UCUCGGCUUAUCACCGGCAGUCCCCUUAGAGUGCCCAACCAAAUGAUGGCAACUAAGGGCGAGGGUUGCGCUCGUUGCGGGACUUAACCCAACACCUCACGGCACGAGCUGACGACGGCCAUGCAGCACCUUGCUUUGUGUCCCGAAGGAAAGCCUCAUCUCUGAGGCGGUCACGCGCAUUCUAGCCUAGGUAAGGUUCCUCGCGUAUCAUCGAAUUAAACCACAUGCUCCACCACUUGUGCGGGCCCCCGUCAAUUCCUUUGAGUUUUAGCCUUGCGGCCGCACUCCCCAGGCGGGGCGCUUAAUGCGUUAGCUGCGGCACGGAACUCGUGGAAUGAGUCCCACACCUAGCGCCCAACGUUUACGGUGUGGACUAC